rnacentral:rRNA from 1 species
UGGGGGAUAUUGCACAAUGGGCGAAAGCCUGAUGCAGCGACGCCGCGUGGGGGAUGAAGGCCUUCGGGUUGUAAACUUCUUUUGCUCUGAACAAGGCAUGCUAAUGGGUGUGUUGAGUGUAGGGGUUGAUUAGCGCCGGCUAACUACGUGCCAGCAGCAGCGGUAAUACGUAGGGCGCGAGCGUUGUCCGGAAUUAUUGGGCGUAAAGGGCUUGUAGGUGGCUGGUUGCGUCUGUCGUGAAAGCUCAUGGCUUAACUGUGGGUUUGCGGUGGGUACGGGCUGGCUUGAGUGCAGUAGGGGAGGCUGGAAUUCCUGGUGUAGCGGUGGAAUGCGCAGAUAUCAGGAGGAAUACCGGUGGCGAAGGCGGGUCUCUGGGCUGUUACUGACACUGAGGAGCGAAAGCAUGGGGAGCGAACAGG